rnacentral:rRNA from 1 species
GAUGAACGCUGGCGGCGUGCCUAAUACAUGCAAGUCGAGCGAACAGACGAGGAGCUUGCUCCUCUGACGUUAGCGGCGGACGGGUGAGUAACACGUGGAUAACCUACCUAUAAGACUGGGAUCACUUCGGGAAACCGGAGCUAAUACCGGAUAAUAUAUUGAACCGCAUGGUUCAAUAGUGAACGACGGUUUUGCUGUCACUUAUAGAUGGAUCCGCGCCGCAUUAGCUAGUUGGUAAGGUAACGGCUUACCAAGGCAACGAUGCGUAGCCGACCUGAGAGGGUGAUCGGCCACACUGGAACUGAGACACGGUCCAGACUCCUACGGGAGGCAGCAGUAGGGAAUCUUCCGCAAUGGGCGAAAGCUUGACGGAGCAACGCCGCGUGAGUGAUGAAGGUCUUCGGAUCGUAAAACUCUGUUAUUAGGGAAGAACAAAUGUGUAAGUAACUAUGCACGUCUUGACGGUACCUAAUCAGAAAGCCACGGCUAACUACGUG